ensembl:lncRNA
AGUGAAUCCACAGAUUUCAGCCCUUGCUCUGCUUUACUUGCUCUGCUUACUUAUUUGAGCUGAAAAAUCAAUUGUGGUUAAGCAGCCAGCAAAACAAAUAAUUGUUCUCUCACUUGCAGCAUAUUUGAGAGUCAGCAAUGUUGGACAGCAUCAAACACCACAACAGAGUUGGUAAAUGCUAAAUAGUUUAGUGAUUUGAAUAAGAAUACAAGGCUGUGAACUCAGACUUUGUGAUAUUUAAUAUGAAAUACUUAAUAAUAUACGUCCUUUAUGAGUCAUUAAUUUUGUAAUAUAUAUACAUUUUAAGUUUAAAUCAUGAUUCAGGGCAUGAGAAACACAGAACAGUAGGUCAUGGAGCAUGCCCUACUCUACUCCUCUCAUUGAGAUUUUUGAAGUUUGAUAAUCUGACACAUCGAUUUUCAUAUGCCUUAUGGUUAUAAAAUCAGUUUCCGUUUAGUCCUCUCAAAGUUCCAGUUGUUAGUCUGAACAUUCAUCAUGAGAAUUUAAUGCCCAGACUGGCAUGUUUCUGUUGUCCAGAAAUAUAUGUAUGACCUUUGACUAUUACCUGUAUUUUGUCCCAUCUUGUCUGUUAAAAGUGCUUCUUUGUUGUGCCUCACUUUCUUCACACCAUGUGUAACACUUAGGUGUCUGGGUGAAAGGUGUGAACCCAUUUUGAGAAUAAAAUGCUAAAAGUAUUCUGCUCUGUGUACAUAGUCUGAAGACAGAAAUUGCCCUUUCAUUAUGCCUCUAUAGCUGCAUUAUCUUCCCUGUAAUGGUGAAAAUGCAUUAUCAUAAGUUUUGGCCUAUUGCCAUACCCUACUCAAAUAUCUAUUGGACAAUACUGUAGCAAGGACAUUUUUUGAAUUAGUGCCAAAUAUAGCAUUAUAUUUCAGUGCACAACCUUUAUGAAUAUAAUGAGCAGACAUUAGCAAUCUCCCAGUGCCUAAAUCUUAAAUAACUCCUCAGGAUAGUGAAAAGAUGUACAUCAUUUUGUCAGUAUUAAUACUGAAAAGCUGACCAUUUUGCUAAAUAGCAACAACAACAAAACUUUUAGAAAGAAAUAGAGUAGAUUUCCCACUGAUCUUAUAUUUAUUUUCAUAUACCUGGAUAAAACAAUUAAUUUAUAUGACUGCUCUUCUGCUGCCAUUUGCCACAAGGCAAGAGAGAUAAAUGGAAUAUUGGUGGGGAGGUUCAACCUCUACUAUCAUAUCACCAACAUCUGCCUCUGAUGUCAUGGGCACAUUAAAAUUGGAAACAUUACUUCCAGAGAGUAGACCUCGUGUUUUUAAAUAAGCAAACUUGAUAUUAAACACUGCACCCUCCACACCUGGAACAUCUGGAAAAACAUGGUCAAGGAGUGUCAGUUUCUGACAACUAUGCUUCCAUUCAUUAAUGGUUUGUUGUUGUAAAGUUUAUUUGUAUUUCUGUAUGAGGAAGAAACUUUAUAAUGGUUUAACGUGGCAGGUGGCUCAGCAUCACUCAGUCAUUUGCUCACUCUCCCCCUUCCUACUGGGAUGGGGGAGAGAAUCAAAAAAAAACAAAGAAGAGUUGAGAUAAAACUAAAAUACAGGAAAGGAAAAGGAGCAUAGUUAUGACCAUAUAUAUAUAAUAUAUAUAUAUUAUUUAAGUAAAUAUAUAUAUUAUAUAUAUAUGAAUGUAUAUAACAAGUGAUGCACAAGUAAUGGCUUACCAUGCCCAAACUGAUGCCCAGCUAGACCCCCAAGCAGCUGAAGAGAGAGAGGUGAACUCCCAUUCCCUCACAACUCUUUCCACAUGAUGUCAUAUAAUAUGGAAUAUCACUUUAACCAGUUUAAGUCAGCCGUCCUGAUUCUGUCAUCGUCUAUAGCAAAAUAGUGGUAACUUAACCACUUAAAAUAUAAUUUAAGACUGAUACUACAUUUACAAAAUAUUGCCCUUUUGUUUGGUUUGCUACAAGUAGGAAAUACAGCAACCACAGCUAAAUGCUUUCAGUCAAAACCAAAGGUGUUCUUUUUGAAUACCCCAUCAUCCAGGCAUGGAAAAAAUAGAGCUUGAUAUUCUGAAUUCUUGCUUCAAGAGGGCUUAAUGACUGCUUUUUAAAGCAACCAUAGCAUGUAUCAUCGUUUAAGGCCUAAUGCAAAACUUUUAGAAUUCAGUGGGAGUACUUAUGUGGGCUUCCAAAGGCUUUGGAUCAGGGUGUGAAAAGAAGCUCCAGGUCUCAUUGUUCAGUAAGAACUAGUGGAGUUUGUUUCAAAAGGUGAAACAGAUACUGAUCUGAUGCGUGAAACUCUAUUACAUGGUCUUCUAAACACUUGGACUAUGCCCUGGAAUUGUUAUGCAAGGUUCUUGCUUAAUAUUCAAAUCACAUUAAUAUUCAAGUUUGAACCUAAUAAUCUGAAAUUCUGUAGCCUAGAAAUUUUCGCUAACCUUCUUAAUUUGGCUAACACUUUCAUGCCUAGCUACUCAAUGAAAACUGCAGUGGUGUGUGUUUGUUUGGCAGCACAUUCUACUAGGUGUCAAUAUAAAAGGUUUGUAUGGAUUAACACAAAGAUAGCAUUGAUUCAGAAUCAGUCCAAAGUGGCACCAGUAUAUACACCUUGUUGCCUUGCCUCAACACAACUGGACCUGGGAUUCUCUUAUCCUAGGAAAGGGAGAAAAAUAAUAGAGAUGCCUGGAGAACAAGAGGAAACUUGGAAUAUGCCGGGUUUUGGGUUUUUUUGUUAUUGUUUUUUUUUUUCUUUUUUUUUUUUUGCUUGUUUGGUUUUUUCUGUUCUGUCUGCCCUGCAAAAGAAUAGAAGGGGAUAUGGGUGCUAACUGUAGCAGCUGGGUGUGCUGGCUUGAAGGCUGCUGGGAUUAAAUACCUGGUACGCGGUCUAACCCUCACCUCAGUCUCAGAAGGGGCAGCUGCAACAACAGACCUGUUUUGCCAAGGAAUGCUGCAAAUACAAGUGAUGUUUGUAGCAUGUCAAUCACUGUUUACUCAUCUGCAGUCAGAAGUAGUCACUCUGUCUCUGCCUAAAGUUCACUUUAUUUUUGUUUGUUUGCCUGUUUCUUGUAAGAGACAUAUUCAACACUCAUUUAAAUGCUGGCAAAAUCAGUCUUGACUAUGAAGACUUGUGGCUUUGAAAGACUUAAAUUCUAGUGAUUGACUGUGAUAUAAUCACUCUUUCUGUGUUAACUUUGUAGUUACACUGGCAAUUCUGGAAAGAGAAAUCAAAAAAUAUAUUAAAAAAAAAUCAGAGUCUGCUUCUGAGAUCUAACAGGCAGUAGAGGACUUCAGAUGGAUUUAGAUCAGUACUGUGAAAACAGUUUAAGAAGAUUCAGCAUCAAUUUAUUGCACAGUAAUGAGGGCAGUAACAUUAUAAGUAAGAUUAAAUAAUGGUGGUGAAUUUAACGCUUGUUAAUACCCUGCUCAGAUUGUGCCAAAUAAUGAUGCAGUUAAAUAUGUUUGUUUUGAUUUAGUAGCCAUUUCCUUUUUACACAGGAUAACAUCUAUAAAGGACGGAAAGUUAAAAGUUGAAAGUUAACAGUUCUAAGAUAAAAUGACUAUGGUUUCCUUAUACAAGGACUGUUUUGAAAGUAAUGCCUCCUAUUUUAUGACAUUGAUCCACAAUGUCAGAGGCAGAUGUUGGUGGUAUGGCAGUAAAUGUUGAACCUUCCUGCCAAUAUUCCACUACACGUUAUUGCCAUGUGACAGGUGGCAGCAGAGGAGCAGUCUGACAAAAUGGUGCCUGACAUGGUAGCACAGAUGAAGCAAAAGUGUGUCAUUGAAUUCCUCCAUGCAGAAAAAAAAUUGCUUCCAUUGACAUCCAUUGAUGCUUGCUGCUGAAUUUUUAUGGAGACCAACCAGUAGUUGUGAGCACAGUGAGGUGGCAGGUGGUGCAUUUCAGCAGUGGCAACAGCAGGAUAAAAAAGAAGCCACACUCCAGACAUCCAUGCAUAUUUUUAAGCUACUGUUCAUCACUGGUGGAAAUGCAUAGAAAAUGGUGGUGACUAUGUUGUAAAAUAGCAUUUUGUAGCUGAGAAUUUGCUCUGUGGAAUAGUGUUAUUGUGUUCCUUGUAUCUUUUGUAAUUUACAUUUAGAUAAAUAGUAGGUAUUACUUUCGGAGCAACCUAUGUAUUUUUCUCAUUAAAGUAAUUCUUAAAUAGCUUUGAAAUUUAUAUAUCCUUUCAAGUCACAUUUUUUUCUUUAUGUUUACAUUUUUAUCCAUGAAAAUUUCCAGCACAAUAAAAUAUAUGCUGGGAUUUUCAUUUCUUUCAGUGAUACAUGGUCAAUUUCGAAAGCUCUUUUUGUAUUUUCUAUAGAGAACAAAUACCUGAAGUCACAAUGGGGGAACUUCUGUCAUUCAAACAGCCAAAAUAAAUAAAUAAAUAAAUAAAUAAAUAUUAAAGUACUUUAUGUAGCCACUAUAUUAUAUUUUGGCAAUUCUGAUUGUUUCUAUCAGAUGGUCAAGACUGUUAUUGUAAACAACUGUCAGGUAUAGUAAAAGCUUUUUUUUUUUUUUUUUUCACUCAUUGUAUGUGAAAGGAAUAGAACAGUAAACUCUACUAAGACUGAUUUUUACUGUCCCUGAUGCAGUAAUUCAGUAAGCUGAAUUCAGUAAACUGAAAUUUGACAUUUGUUGACUUUUAAGACCAGCAAUAGUCAGCCACAGGGAGAAAACUAUAUAUGUUUUUUGUUUCUGACUUGUGUUCCUAAUCCCUAUAAAAUGUCAAACUGAAGAUGACAAAGAGCAGAUCUCUGAAAGAAUGUAACAAGAUAUGCUCCUGCGUCUUGACUUGCAAACACUUGCAGAACAUCAUUUUUUCUGACAGCAGAAAGUUUUCUGCUUAGAAACCUAUUUCAAGAAAGGCAAACUGUUUCCACAGAAAAUCACCUUAUCAAAACCAUAGCUACUCACCUGGAAAGGUAUGGAUGAAAAAAAUUUAUUCCAGUCUCAUUUCUUUCUGCACUAAUAGUUGCCUUAAAUGCACAAAACCUUGAAUGCCUUCCAGUUGGAUCCAUGGGCCUUAAAGAUUAGAAGUGUAUUCUUCCCUAACAGUAAGGGAGAACAAACUUAAGCAUGCUUACCUUUUUCCUGUUCAUAAUAACAUCCUUAAUUUCAAAGUUUUACUCAUAAUCUCUUAUUAAAUUGAAUAUGUGUAAAAAAUAUUAUUUUAGAUUUAAAAAUACUAUAGCUAUCUGAAACUAAGCAAUAACUUUAAUUCUCUGUGGCUGUAGUCCAUUGCGCAAUUUUAUGCACACACAUCACUGUGCACUCUUCAGUAGUUAGGAAUAUUGUAAGACAUGCACUACUUUUAAAGACUUUUUUUACUGAAGUCUUCUGAUGACUAAUGUUAUGUUCAUUAUUGUGGUGGAAUAUUUUCAAAACACCAUAUGCCUCUCAUAAGUUUAUUACUGGAAUAUAAAAAUGAGAUUAAUAUGAAGUAAAAUGAUGAGUAAGGCAUGAAGACUUCAACAAACAAUUGCACAGUGUUUGAGGGUACAUGCUUGUACGCCUAAAUGUGGAGAUUUUACAUAAGCACUGUGUGGUUCGUUAAAAAAAAAAAAAAAAAGAAAAGUAUGUCCAUCUGACUAACCAAUAAGUUCCUAUAAUGGAAGAAGACUCAGAAAAGACAGAGAAGGGUAAUGUGCCCAUAAAGCUCAGGGAAUAUAAUAGUGUGUGACUGACAACAGCUAUUGCAAAGAAAGCUAACUUGUCAGAGAGCAGUGGACUUUAACAGUUCAAAAUAUUCAAAACUUAGGUAAAAUAAAUUCUAUGGCAGGCAUUAUAAAGGAGUGAGAAUAUUUCAGAGAAAAUAUGCUGAAAUAAAACAUCAGGGGAGACAUAUGAGGAAGAUCGUCUAAGAAUAGUUGAUCAGACCUCUUGUAUAAUUUGCAUGUGGAUUUGCUGCUGCUAAAAUAAACAGUCUUCUAGUUUUACCUGGCAACAGCCAAGCACUUACAGAAUUUACUGAAUAUGCACAUUUAGCCUCCCAAACCUAGCAGAAGUUGAAACCCUGAGACUUGAAAAGAGAAUGGGUGAACAAGUAAUGAGCAACCAUAACAAGUACUGUUGUAAAAAAAUCCUCAUUCAGUCAGUUAUUUUCUAAGCCUCUGUUUUUUAAUAAAUAUUGUUGGUUCCUCCUUCCAGCAUGCAUUGGGAAGUUUCUCCUGAGUCAAAAGUAUUAGUUCAGAGCCAGGUUAGCAAACCACUUCAGCAUAAAAUAAAAUACUCCCUUUCCACUACACUUAAGAUUCUGUUCAAGUCUGUAGACCUGAAAAGGCAGUAAAAAUUGAGAAUAAAAUUACUUUUUGGAAAUAAGAGAAAAACUAUACUGGGCAUUACUGUAUAAUCUGAAAGUGGAAAAUCUAUUUUUUUUGCUUCACUUUUUAACAUUUCAGUUGAAAGGUUAAAAAUAAAAUCUCUACAUUCUAAAAACACCUACAAGGAAUAGAAAAAAGGAGAGAGUAGAAAGUACUGCUACUAAUGCCAGUAAAUCAGAAUUGUUAUACUUUUCUGUUCCUGUGUAUUUUUAUUCUUUUUCAGAUGCCAAUUUCUACAUUUUUCUGGAGAUUCUUAUUUACUCACCAAAGGUGAGGCAGAGAAAUGGGGAUUGGAACCAACUGAUCUUUAAAUUUCCUUCCAGUCCAAUCCAUUCUAUGAUUCUACAAUUCUAAAUGUCUUUUCUUGAUAAAUGUCCCUGACAAAUUUUAUGGUGUUGUUUGUGAGUGGAUGAGUCAGUCAGACUACAUCCCUCUGACAAAUACAGGGUAGGACCACAGCAUGAGAUAGAGUUGUUGGGCAUAUUUUUCAUGCUAGCAAGUAGCAGUUCCACUGAGCAUAGCUGUUUGAGCAUGAUUUCGAACCCAAAGGAGCAACCUUUACUGAGAGGUACAGUGUGUUGAGUACUGUAGUGUCUUAAUGUGCUCUGGGACUGUCAUCUCAUAUCAAAGUGGAGCAGAAAGGGUGGAUGACCAUUCACAUGCUUAAGAGAUUGUGCUCUGGCAUUAUCAGUCCUUCUGCUAAUAGAUACAUUUGCUCUAGUGAUAAUGAGAGUGAUUAAUCUUUGUGUUGAAUUGCUAUGGCAUGCCUCUGCCUUUAAUUUGCACACACUUUAAGACAGUCCUUCUGAAGAGUACUAGUCAGUGAUCAUUCAGUGCUUGCCAGAACUGGCACACAAGUCAUCCCAUGAGUUGAGGGAUUUUGUUAAGCCUGGGCCUCAAGAGACAUGAGAUUGGCAGGAGAAGUAACUACUGUUGUAUGAAAUUUCAUGGCUUGUGCAGCCAGCAAAAAUAAAAAUCAUGUCUCAUGACUGACAGAGAAGAAAUACCAAGUCCUGUACAGGAUAAGAAAGGGUAGGCACCAUCUGCUACUCUGUGGAGUAGAAUUAUAAAAUAUGUCAGUCACGCCAUUGCUGAGAAAAGCAGAGAAAAUGGUGCAUGUUGCUGCAUCUGUUAGCGUAAGUACAACUUCCAAGGUAGAAAAAUAUGCCUGACAUUGUGCAGAGAAACUGAUGGUGUUGUCAACUUCUGUAUAUGCAGAAAAUAAGGCAGUUUAAAAGGGUUGGGAUUCUCAUUUCAUAGUUGCAUGUUACACACAGGUGAGAAUUCUCACGGUGAUUGGAAGUAAUUGCUCUAUUUUAGUAUUUUAGUAAGGUCUAGAUCACUGAUGUUUUGCUAUAGAAAUAAUAUUGAAAUAACUGAAAGAGAGGUAAAAACAUGUGGUUGAAUUUAUGAGGGCUGCUCUGAAAGUAAUGCCUCCUAUUUUAUUAUGUUGGCCCACGAUGUCAGAGGCAGAUGUUGGUGGCAGAAAAAAUGGCAUCUACUGAUAUUCAUUAACACUUGCUGAAUGUUGAUGGAGAGCA